GGGGGACAAAGUGACAGGUGGUGCAUGGUUGUCGUCAGCUCGUGUCGUGAGAUGUUGGGUUAAGUCCCGCAACGAGCGCAACCCUUAAGCUUAGUUGCCAUCAUUAAGUUGGGCACUCUAAGUUGACUGCCGGUGACAAACCGGAGGAAGGUGGGGAUGACGUCAAAUCAUCAUGCCCCUUAUGAUUUGGGCUACACACGUGCUACAAUGGACAAUACAAAGGGCAGCGAAACCGCGAGGUCAAGCAAAUCCCAUAAAGUUGUUCUCAGUUCGGAUUGUAGUCUGCAACUCGACUACAUGAAGCUGGAAUCGCUAGUAAUCGUAGAUCAGCAUGCUACGGUGAAUACGUUCCCGGGUCUUGUACACACCGCCCGUCACACCACGAGAGUUUGUAACACCCGAAGCCGGUGGAGUAACCUUUUAGGAGCUAGCCGUCGAAGGUGGGACAAAUGAUUGGGGUGAAGUCGUAACAAGGUAGCCGUAUCGGAAGGUGCGGCUGGAUCACCUCCUUUCUA
rnacentral:rRNA from 1 species